rnacentral:rRNA from 1 species
UACGUAGGGUGCGAGCGUUGUCCGGAAUUAUUGGGCGUAAAGAGCUCGUAGGCGGUCUGUCGCGUCGGCUGUGAAAUCCCGAGGCUCAACCUCGGGUCUGCAGUCGAUACGGGCAAACUAGAGUAUUGCAGGGGAGACUGGAAUUCCUGGUGUAGCGGUGAAAUGCGCAGAUAUCAGGAGGAACACCGGUGGCGAAAGGCGGGGUCUCUGGGCAAUAACUGACGCUGAGGAGCGAAAAGCGUGGGGGAGCGAACAGG